UUACACAAGUAUAGUAAAUAAGAUUCUUGCUAUUUAAUGGUUUAGGACUAACGGUUCAAGUUUUAUAAAGUAUCAAAACUUGAUUGAAAAACGCUACAAAGUAUUUGGAGUUAUAAAGUAGCUAAACCCAAAUAUGUCUAAACAAAAGGCAAAGGUAGCCAACACACAGAAAAUCAUUAACUCCUCUUUCUCUCUCCACCACCAAUGUUAUAUUCAAAACUCUCCAAGCGCCCUCUCUUCACAAUUCUUCAAGAUCAUACUUGUGGAAACCUUCCAUGGUAAACACUCCAAGUAAAUCGGAUAUAAUAGA
rnacentral:misc_RNA from 1 species